rnacentral:RNase_P_RNA from 1 species
AUUUUUGGAUAAUCGCAUGAUUUUAUAUCAUGAGGAAAGUCCAUGCUAGCACCGGCUGUGAUGCCGGUAGUGUUUGUGCUAGGUGAAACAAUAAGCCUAGGGAUGUAGUGAUGCAUUACGGCGACCCAAAUAGCUAAGUCUAAGAUAUGCUAGAGUAGGUCUGAAAGUGCCACAGUGACGUAGUUUUUGUGGAAACGCAAAAAAUGGAACGCGGUAAACCCCUCAAGCUAGCAACCCAAACUUUGGUCGGGGCACGAGAUAGAUGGAAACAGAACGUACUAUCUUGACUGUUUAACAGUAGACAGAUGAUUAUCGAAAAAGACAAGACCUAGUUGUCUUUGGAACAAAACAUGGCUUAUAGAA